rnacentral:rRNA from 1 species
GACGAACGCUGGCGGCGUGCUUAACACAUGCAAGUCGAACGGAAAGGCCCUGCUUUUGUGGGGUGCUCGAGUGGCGAACGGGUGAGUAACACGUGAGUAACCUGCCCUUGACUUUGGGAUAACUUCAGGAAACUGGGGCUAAUACCGGAUAGGAGCUCCUGCUGCAUGGUGGGGGUUGGAAAGUUUCGGCGGUUUGGGAUGGACCCGCGGCUUAUCAGCUUGUUGGUGGGGUAGUGGCUUACCAAGGCUUUGACGGGUAGCCGGCCUGAGAGGGUGACCGGCCACAUUGGGACUGAGAUACGGCGCAGACUGCUACGGGAGGCAGUAGUGGGGAGUAUUGCGCAAUGGGCCGAAGCCUGAUGCAGCAGCGCCGCGUGCGGGAUGACGGCCUUCGGGUGGUAAACCGCUUUCGCCUGUGACGAAGCGUGAGUGACGGUAAUGGGUAAAGAAGCACCGGCUAACUACGUG